ACACCCUCCCCCAGGACAGUAAAGCCCAGUGAUGAACUCUGAGGGCUUUUCAUCUCCUCUCGGAGUUGCUAGUUGCUCACUGGGUCUGUGAAUGUGAAUCCAUGUGGACA
ensembl:miRNA Mir6539 microRNA 6539